GAUGAACGCUGGCGGCGUGCCUAAUACAUGCAAGUCGAGCGAACAGACGAGGAGCUUGCUCCUCUGACGUUAGCGGCGGACGGGUGAGUAACACGUGGAUAACCUACCUAUAAGACUGGGAUAACUUCGGGAAACCGGAGCUAAUACCGGAUAAUAUAUUGAACCGCAUGGUUCAAUAGUGAAAGACGGUUUUGCUGUCACUUAUAGAUGGAUCCGCGCCGCAUUAGCUAGUUGGUAAGGUAACGGCUUACCAAGGCAACGAUGCGUAGCCGACCUGAGAGGGUGAUCGGCCACACUGGAACUGAGACACGGUCCAGACUCCUACGGGAGGCAGCAGUAGGGAAUCUUCCGCAGUGGGCGAAAGCUUGACGGAGCAACGCCGCGUGAGUGAUGAAGGUCUUCGGAUCGUAAAACUCUGUUAUUAGGGAAGAACAAAUGUGUAAGUAACUAUGCACGUCUUGACGGGACCUAAUCAGAAAGCCACGGCUAACUACGU
rnacentral:rRNA from 1 species